rnacentral:sRNA from 1 species
UUUGGGUUAGGGAUUGCAGUGGCAUCCUUUUGCUAGCUGUUCGUGUAAAUUUAUGGAGUAAAAUGAAAUAAAAUUACAUGAAUACGCAAAAGAUAUAACGAAAAGCCCGACUACGC